rnacentral:misc_RNA from 1 species
CAGAGUUGCAAAACUCCCAACCAUUGUGAACCUACCUCACCGUUGCUUCGGCGGGUGGCCAGGGGCAACCCAGGCCGCGCCAGCGCCCCUCUUCAGGGCUCGGCAACCCCGUCAGAAGACCGAAACUCUUCGUCAUCAGUGGGCUCUCUGAGUAACUUAUACAAUAAGUCA